GAUGAGCGCUGGCGGCGUGCCUAAUACAUGCAAGUCGAGCGAACGGACGAGAAGCUUGCUUCUCUGACGUUAGCGGCGGACGGGUGUGUAACACGUGGAUAACCUCCCUAUAAGACUGGGAUAACUUCGGGAAACCGGAUCUAAUACCGGAGAAUAUUUUGAACCGCAUGGUUCAAUAGUGAAAGACGGUCUUGCUGUCACUUAUAGAUGGAUCCGCGCUGCAUUAGCUAGUUGGUAAGGUAACGGCUUACCAAGGCAACGAUGCGUAGCCGACCUGAGAGGGUGAUCGGCCACACUGGAACUGAGACACGGUCCAGACUCCUACGGGAGGCAGCAGUAGGGAAUCUUCCGCAAUGGGCGAAAGCCUGACGGAGCAACGCCGCGUGAGUGAUGAAGGUCUUCGGAUCGUAAAACUCUGUUAUUAGGGAAGAACAUAUGUGUAAGUAACUGUGCACAUCUUGACGGUACCUAAUCAGAAAGCAACGGCUAACUACGUG
rnacentral:rRNA from 1 species